rnacentral:rRNA from 1 species
UGGGGAAUAUUGCACAAUGGAGGGAACUCUGAUGCAGCGACGCCGCGUGAGUGAUGAAGGAAUUCGUUUCGUAAAACUCUGUUUUAUGGGAAGAAAAGGACUGUACCACAGGAGAAAGCUCCGGCUAAAUACGUGCCAGCACCCGCGGUAAUACGUAUGGAGCGAGCGUUGUCCGGAAUUAUUGGGCGUAAAGGGUGCGCAGGCGGCUUUACAAGUUGGAUGUGAAAUAUUGUGGCUCAACCACAAGCGUGCAUCCAAAACUGCAAAGCUUGAGUUAAGGAGAGGUAAGUGGAAUUCCUGGUGUAGCGGUGGAAUGCGUAGAUAUCAGGAGGAAUACCGGUGGCGAAGGCGACUUACUGGACUUAUACUGACGCUCAGGGACGAAAGCGUGGGGAGCAAACAGG